rnacentral:rRNA from 1 species
GAUAAAAUCCUAGCAGCAGUUGUAAGAAGAGUGACUUCGUUAGGAAAACCAAUUUGAGAGAAUGAGUUUAUAGAGGGUAUCGAGUGAAUAGUAGAAGCGAUAGGAAAGUACUGAGAAGGAAAGGUGAGAUAGCUGUAAAUCAGGGGAAAGUAGACUAAGUGUUGUACCUUUUGUAUCAGGGCUCAUCAAAUACAUUGGAGAAUUCUGAAAUCCCGAUGCAAAGAGAGCUAUCAGGAUAAUCCAGUUACUGUGGUAACAUUAUUGGGCAUGUGCUGAUAGGAAUGAAACAUUAGACGAUCUUUGGGGUAUCUGGUUUCUUAAGAGAUGAAUUUAAUUCAGGGACCCUUAGAGGUUUCACUAUUUGGGUGGGACUUUAGAGGGCACCUAAUACGAAGGGGGAUAAGCUCCUUGGUAUCCUAAAAAUGGGAGAGAUCUGAAAAUAGGUAGGGUUGAAAGUAUCCAUCCUUUAAAAGAUGUUACAGUUUAUUUUCAGGGAAUCGAAAUUUUAAUUCUUUUAGGGGGCUAUUAAGAACUUACCUUUAACUGAAGGGUAAAAUAUAAUGAUGGGAUAAGUAAUAGUACCACAAAUCCAAAUCCCGAUAAGGAACUCGGCAAAUUUAAUGCUCGCCUGUUUAUCAAAAACACCGCCUCUCGAUGUUUAUGGGAGGUCUAGCCUGCCCACUGAAGGAGUUAAAGGGCCGCGGUAUUUUGACCGUGCAAAGGUAGCAUAAUCAUUAGUCUUCUAAUUAAAGGCUGGAAUGAAUGGCUGGACGAGGUAUUAGCUGUCUCUUUGGGAGAGGUUUGAAUUUAACUUUCUAGUGAAAAGGCUGGGAUAGUAUUGGAGGACGAGAAGACCCUAUAGAGCUUUACAUUUACUGUUACUUUAAUUGGUUUGGUUGGAGUUAGAUUUUGUGGCAGGAGUGUUUCGUUGGGGUGACGGGAAGAAAUAAGGAACUCUUCUUGGGAUGAACCACAAAUUAGUGAAUAAUUGAUCCAUUUGUAGUGAUUAGAAGACUAAGUUACCUUAGGGAUAACAGCGUAAUCUUUUUUGAGAGUUCUAAUCGACAAGAAGGGUUGCGACCUCGAUGUUGGACUAAGGAUGAUUCUUGGGUGCAGAAGUUCAAGGUUUAGGUCUGUUCGACCUUUGAAUCCUUACAUGAUCUGAGUUCAGACCGGCGUAAGCCAGGUCGGUUUCUAUCCUCAAUAAGGGGAAGUAUUUUAGUACGAAAGGACCAAAUACUGGGGAUAAUCUUCUAGCAGGGAAUACCAUUAACA